UCGAGAGGCUUCGGCAAUGGGGGAAACCCUGACCGAGCGACGCCGCGUGAGGGAUGAAGGCCCUUGGGUUGUAAACCUCUUUUGUUCGGGAAGAAAUGCGAUCAGGUGAAUAAUCUGGUCGUUUGACGGUACCGGACGAAUAAGCUCCGGCUAACUCCGUGCCAGCAGCCGCGGUAACACGGGGGGAGCAAGCGUUGUUCGGAAUCACUGGGCGUAAAGGGCGUGUAGGCGGUCAGGUAAGUGGGAUGUGAAAUGCCCCGGCUCACCCGGGGACCGGCAUCCCAAACUGCCUGGCUUGAGUAUGGGAGAGGAUGAGGGAAUUCCUGGUGUAGCGGUGAAAUGCGUAGAUAUCAGGAGGAACACCGGUGGCGAAGGCGCUCAUCUGGCCCAAUACUGACGCUGAGGCGCGAAAGCUAGGGGAGCAAACGGGAUUAGAUACCCCUGUAGUCC
rnacentral:rRNA from 1 species